rnacentral:rRNA from 1 species
UCUUGGUCAUUUAGAGGAAGUAAAAGUCGUAACAAGGUUUCCGUAGGUGAACCUGCGGAAGGAUCAUUACAGAAAUAGGAGAAGGUUGCUUAACUGCAAUCCUUUUCUUUCUACACAUGUGUUUUUCUUUUUUUUGAAAACUUUGCUUUGGUGGGCCCACGGCCUGCCAGAGAUUAAACUCAACCAAAUUUUUAUUUAAUUGUCAACCAGAUUAUUUAAUAGUCAAAACUUUCAACAACGGAUCUCUUGGUUCUCGCAUCGAUGAAGAACGCAGCGAAAUGCGAUAAGUAAUAUGAAUUGCAGAUAUUCGUGAAUCAUCGAAUCUUUGAACGCACAUUGCGCCCUUUGGUAUUCCAAAGGGCAUGCCUGUUUGAGCGUCAUUUCUCCCUCAAACCCUCGGGUUUGGUGUUGAGCGAUACGCUGGGUUUGCUUGAAAGAAAGGCGGAGUAUAAACUAAUGGAUAGGUUUUUUUUUUCCACUCAUUGGUACAAACUCCAAACAUUCUUCCAAAUUCAACCUCAAAUCAGGUAGGACUACCCGCUGAACUUAAGCAUAUCAAUAA